AUGAUAGUGGGUUUUGACUUGAUUUUGUUUUUCACUAUUUUGCUUCCCAGGCAGGAGGCCCAAGCCCUGACAACAGAGGUGAGAGAGGCUGUGCCAGCCCUGCUCUGGGCAUGUUUGGGCUCAAGGGCCAGACUCUGCCUCCAGUCUAGGGCCAAGCUGGGGCCUGUGGCAGGAUCAGAUAGAGACGCUCCCAGCCACACUACAGCCAAAGAGCCCUCCGUUCACAAACCAUGCCGUCCUCGUCAGAACCUGGGAAGGGUUCCUAGUUGUGCAGGGUAAGUAGUAUGGUCUGAGCCGCAAACAUCUCAUUAAGCAAUUACCCCAGAGAGCACCAAGGCAAGGAAGUGACCUCACUGCCAUGUCGACACCACCCUGCCACCAGGGUGGGAGUAAUGGGGGUAAUCAUGGCCGUGGUGGCAAUGACAUUGAUGGUGACGCUGAGUGACAAAAAGGUGAU
rnacentral:lncRNA from 10 species